CUGAUGUUUUAUAUAAAAUAGAAAUAAUAAAAAUCUACUAUGAAAACAAAUUUUGUGUGUUAGUGUUAGGUUAAGUCAAUGAAAUGGAUCAAAUAUUCAAGAUUUUACGUAUACGUUCAAAUAGUUAUGUAAAAAGCAAUGACAGGAUACCUUGUCAGUUCUAAGCAUAUCAAUAUUCAAAAGUAUCUGAAUAUUAAUUUGAAAAAUUCAUGAAAUACAUUCUAUUAAAGACAAUAAAAUAAGAUACGUAAGAAUGAUUUUUUCACGUUAUAUCAAAAAGUUAGAUCAAGCAACGAAAGAAAAAAUACGAUUAAGAUUAGCUAUGGCUUAUGCAAUAAUAGCAUGGAAUGGAUUUGCAAUUGGUUUAUACAUGUUAUCUAAUGGACGACAUGAAGCUCCGGAUACACCAAAAGGUUUAACCAGAGUACUUGCUUCCCACACAGAAGAAAGUAAAGUUAUUCGGAUAAGAGGAUUUAAUAUAAUAGAAAAUACUGUUUAUGAUAAAAGCAAACUUGAUGAAAUUCGUAAUAAUAUUAUAAACACUCAUAAUAAUACUUCUAAUGAUGAAGAUUCUGACUUCUAAAUUUUAUUAUAAAGCAUAAUAAUAAUAAGAUAGAUGUAUAUAAUAAUAAAAUAUAAUUAAAAUAAUAAGUAUUAUUUGUUAUUUACAAAUUUAAAGAAUAUCAGGAUAUUCGUUGAUACAUUAAUUUAACAAAGGAACCAAUAACUCAGUCAAUAACAAUAGAUAAAUUGCCUGCAAUCAUAUCAUAUGAAACUUAAGGAAGAGAUCGUCGUAAAGCUAUUGCACCUGACGAAGAAUUUCCUGUUUCAGGAUUUAAAUCUUUCAAUCUUUGUUCCAUUUCACAUAACAAAGCUGACCUAUUGAAAUUUUUUCAUAUUAUUCAUUUAUAUAAAUUAAUUUAUAUUGUAAAAUUAUCUUUAUAUUUCAAACCUGUAUUCUUCAUAUCUCAUAACUACUUCUUCCAAUUCUUGUUUGUAAAGUCUUGUCAGCAUUGCAUUGAAACAAUCAAGUUCUGGUAAACGAAAGAGCUCCCAUCGUAAUUUACGAUCUAAUGCAAUGGAUGCCCUACUAUACACAUAUAACCAAUGAGGAAUUUCUUCAUUAAGAUACGGAUUCGCUGGUACUAAGACACUGUGAGAAUGAAAAUGUGUAUGUCUAGGAGGUGAUACUACUCUUAUAGCUUGUACUUCGUGCGGAUAACAUGGAUGCUCAUAUUGCGCUUGUCUUGUUAUGUGACUGCAAAUAAUAUGAGAUUAUUAUUUAUACAGAUAGAAUGAAUUACGUAAUAAAUAACAUAGUAAUGAUCAUCAAUCACUCACUUAACAUAAUAGACACCAUAUUCCGGUGAUUCUAUUCUUUCCCACCCAGUGGGCAAACCUUCUUUUUCUAGAGGAUGCGACCAAUGAGUAGUUUUUGUAUUAUGAUCUAUAUAAUACUUUCUACCUCUAAGUGUAAAAUCUACCGACCAACCAGGCGGUAAAGGUAAUUCUUCUUGUUGUUCGCUUCUAGAACUUGAUCUUUCUGACUGACAUCUACUAUAUCUUUAAAAAUGUUCACAUUUUGUUUUUAAUAAAAUAAAAACAAUAAUUACUAGAUUAAUAUUUUAAUUAAUAUUUUAAUUUUAAUCAUUAUUAUUGAAUAUACCCAGCAUUUUGACGAUAUACUGACUGAUUAUAUUCUUCAUAACCUGUAUCUACAUCAAAUGGUAAAUAAGGCACUUGUGGUGUCUGAACACGGUCCAGAUGAUAUUCAGAUCCAGCAUAUUGAUUGACAUAAGUAUGUGAUACAGCAGGUGAUAAUCCUGAAUGAUAUAAUGGUGUAGCAGUACGAGAAGACAUACCUUCGUUUAAUCCAGUAUUAACAGAGAGACCUGCAAAUCUAAUAAAAUAAAAUGUUACAUAUUAAUAUUAUUUCUAAAUCUCAAGUGUUUAUGCAAUAAAAAUAAUAACUUUUCAUAUCUGAAUUUUAACAUAUUAAAUAUUACCUUUGCGCUAAGUCUGGGACUGAACUAUUUGGAGUAUAUUUUCCUUCGUGACUACCUAAUCCAACAGCGCUCAUUGUAGUUUUUGUAUUUCCAAAUUUUUGUACUAUACUUGGUUGUUGUGGAAUAGACUAUAAAAAAUAUAUCUAUCUAUAUUGACUUCUAUUCGUGAUCAUAUAUUUACCACAUUUUUAAAAAAUCUAACAUUUGAAAUGAAUAUAAAUCAAUAUAAUUUACCAUCGAUGAUGGUAUUGUAGGAUGAUUUCGUCGUCUUACUCUUCUGUUUGGUUCUGUCGUCCAUACAUUGAUAACUAAAAAAAAACAAAAUAA